rnacentral:tRNA from 1 species
AAAAAUUUAGUUAAAAUAAUAACAUUGGCUUGUCAAGCUAAAAUUAUUACUUAAGUAAUAAUUUUUA